GCAAAUCAAAAACGGAGAGAAGAUGGGUGAGGUUUCUCCCAUUCCCUUCUGUUAGAGCUAGUGCUGCCUCUGUUCAUACCUGGUUGGUGAAUGAGUCACAUGUUCCGAAUUGGACAUCCCUGGCAGCCUGCCAAUGGUAGCACGACAGGAAGGCAUAAAGAAAGAAAGCACAGCCCAGGAGUCACAGUCAUGCUGUUCCAGCCAGAAAAAUGCAGGGUUUAGAUUCUCAUGGAAUAGGCCUGCUGUUGGGAAAAAUGGCCGAAGGCAAACG